rnacentral:rRNA from 1 species
UUUAACUGAGCGUUCAGUUACUUGACGUAGACCCGAAACCGGGCGACCUACCCAUGAGCAGGAUGAAGCGAAAGUAAAAUUUCGUGGAGGUCCGAACCCACGAGCGUUGAAAAGCUCGGGGAUGACUUGUGGGUAGCGGUGAAAUUCCAAUCGAGCCCGGAGAUAGCUGGUUCUCCCCGAAAUAGCUUUAGGGCUAGCCUCAAGGUGAGAGAUACGGAGGUAGAGCACUGAAUGUCCUAGGGGGUAUUGCACCUACCGAAGACUAUCAAACUCCGAAUGCCGUCAUCUUAUACUUGGGAGUCAGACUGUGGGUGAUAAGAUUCAUAGUCGAAAGGGCAACAGCCCAGAUCGUCAGCUAAGGUCCCUAAAUGUAAGUUAAGUGGUAAAGGAUGUGGGAUUGCACAGACAACCAGGAUGUUGGCUUAGAAGCAGCCACUCAUUCAAAGAGUGCGUAAUAGCUCACUGGUCGAGUGAUCCUGCGCCGAAGAUUUCCGGGGCUAAAACUUACUACCGAAGCUACGGCAUCAGUAAUGAUGGGUAGGGGAGCUUCCCAUACGGGUUGAAGCAUGACCGUAAGGACAUGUGGACAGUAUGGGAGUGAGAAUGUUGGCAUGAGUAGCGAGAUGUGGGUGAGAAUCCCACAGGCCGUAAACCCAAGGUUUCCAGGGGAAGGUUCGUCCGCCCUGGGUUAGUCGGGACCUAAGCUGAGGCCGAAAGGCGUAGGUGAUGGACAACAGGUUGAUAUUCCUGUACUACCGAUAACCGUUUGAGAGAUGGGAUGACACAGUAGGAUAAGCUAAGCACACUGUUGGUUAUGUGUGCCCAAGCAUUGAGGCAGUCAAAGUAGGCAAAUCCGCUUUGAUAAUGCUGGGAUGUGAUGGGGAGCGAAAUUUAGUAGCGAAGUAGCUGAUUUCACACUGUCAAGAAAAGUCUCUAUCGAGGUUAAAGGUACCCGUACCGCAAACCGACACAGGUGGGUGAGGAGAGUAUCCUAAGGCUAGCGAGAGAACUGUUGUUAAGGAACUCGGCAAAAUGACCCCGUAACUUAGGGAUAAGGGGUGCCACCAUCAGGUGGCCGCAGAGAAUAGGCCCAAGCGACUGUUUACCAAAAACAUAGGUUUCUGCUAAGUCGCAAGACGAUGUAUAGGAGCUGACGCCUGCCCGGUGCUGGAAGGUUAAGGGGAUCUGUUAGAGCAAUCGAAGCAGUGAACUUAAGCCCCAGUAAACGGCGGCCGUAACUAUAACGGUCCUAAGGUAGCGAAAUUCCUUGUCGGGUAAGUUCCGACCCGCACGAAAGGCGUAACGAUUUGGGCACUGUCUCAACAACAGACUCGGUGAAAUUGUAAUUCCGGUGAAGAUGCCGGAUACCUGCGACAGGACGGAAAGACCCCAUGGAGCUUUACUGUAGCUUGACAUUGGGUCUUGGUACUACAUGUACAGGAUAGGUGGGAGGCUUUGAAACCAGGACGCCAGUUUUGGCGGAGCCAUCCUUGGGAUACCACCCUUGUAGUACUGGGACUCUAACCAUAGGCCAUGAAUCUGGUCUUGGGACACUGUCAGGUGGGCAGUUUGACUGGGGCGGUCGCCUCCCAAAAGGUAACGGAGGCGCUCAAAGGUUCUCUCAGUACGGUCGGAAAUCGUACGUAGAGUGUAAAGGCAAAAGAGAGCUUGAUUGCAAGACAUACAGGUCGAGCAAGGAUGAAAAUCGGACUUAGUGAUCCGGUGGUUCUGCGUGGAAGGGCCAUCGCUCAACGGAUAAAAGCUACCCUGGGGAUAACAGGCUUAUCUCCCCCAAGAGUCCACAUCGACGGGGAGGUUUGGCACCUCGAUGUCGGCUCAUCACAUCCUGGGGCUGUAGUAGGUCCCAAGGGUUGGGCUGUUCGCCCAUUAAAGUGGUACGCGAGCUGGGUUCAGAACGUCGUGAGACAGUUCGGUCCCUAUCCGUCGCAGGCGUAGGAAAUUUGAGAAGACCUGUCCUUAGUACGAGAGGACCGGGAUGGACG